rnacentral:misc_RNA from 1 species
AAGUUUCCCGCCGCCUGGUCGAUUUCCUCUCCGGCGUCGCCUACGCCAACAACGGCCAGAUCAAGCGCGUGGCAAACAGCACCUUCAUCAUCACCCCCUACAACGUGGAUAUCAUGGGCGAUCUGCUGGACGAGCUGGAGAACAAUGGCGCGUUCUAUUGAUCCUGCCUCCAAAGCCGUGCGGGGCUUCGCCCCCGCCA